AUGAGGCCUAUAAAAGAAUCAGGGGAAGGUGGAACAAAAUAAGGGAAGUACUAGAAAUAACAGAGAAAACCAACAAUGGAUCCUUACUGAAAUGCAAACUUGAGACAAGAGAAUACUGAAGAUAAAAACAUUGGUAACAUAAAAGUAGGAAUUGAAUGUGGUCAAAUUCAGGCCCUCUAAAUUUAAAAAACGAACAGCAAAGGAAAGCAAACCGUAACAUUUGAAAACCGGCUUUGGAGACACCAACUUGUAAAUGACUUCUGUGUUAACAUUCAAAACUUCAAAUUAACAUCACUGACAGAACUGGAGGGAAACCGUGGUGAACCCAAGGCCACACCUACUGACAGGCUGUGAAGAUGACAUCUGUCUCCCUCUGUUCCUGGCAGCAAGGAAUUGCAACUGGUCUCUUCUGUGCAAGGUAGAAGUUGUAUACACUAUCACUAUUACAGAAAAUGGAAACUAUUUUCUCAAGCCUCAUGCACGUCAAGCUCUGUGGUUUAUACUAAAAGUGGAUUUUAUAGCCUGUUGUGUACACUUCGUGUUUCCUGUGCCAAGGAACCACAAGACAGAAAACCUGAGGCCUGUGAAGUUCCCCUGCCUUAGACCUUGGUGUAGCAUCGUCACCAAUGGUUUCCAGCACAGCAGCACACACUUCCAGUUCUGUAAUCUGUGGUUUAGCUGCAGGGUGACUCAGGUGGUGAUUCAGUAGGUGGAAAGCUUUCUUCUGUCAAUAUUGAACUCAUGUCCCACUAUCCAGGUACACAGUGCUGUUUAAAGGAGUAACCUUCUGCUGGGAUACAAGAGAAACGGAGUGACCGAUGACUAUUGUUCAGGAUCCCAUGGUGCAAGUGGAAAUAUUAACUCUUGGGCACACACCAGCUUUCAGUUCGAUGGAAUGCAUUCUGCUUAAAUUUUCCUUUCCCAUCCUUAUGCUGGUUUGUAAUCUUGCUCUUCCUGAUGGUUUAUUUCCACAUGACAGAAGGCUGCAUGCUUUAGUAUGAGAGAUGAUUUUUCUGGAUCCAAGGGACAGGGGAUGGUGCUGGUAUCCCGAGUAAAGCAGAAAUAAAUCAUAGCAAGAAUAAUGUUAAUCCUCAUUAUUAAAAGAGUUCACACACCCUUUGUUCAAAAGUACAACAGUGUAGAGAGAUUUAAGAUUAAUCCUGGAUUCUCACAUGAUAUCUGUUGGUAAAAGAACAUGCAUGUGAGAGGGUAAGUACAAAGGCCAGCUUACCAUGCUGCUUAUUUCCACUGUACAGGUGGGAAAUAGUACUUAAUUCUAAGAAAGGCAUUUUGCUAACAAGAGUUGUAUGCUGCAAGAAGUAUGUAAGUUCAUACUGUUUCCAUUUUAUCUAACUAAACUCUAUUAUUGUUAUUAUUAUUAAUUACUAUUAAUUAUUAUUAUUAAUUUACAUUUCUGGUAAAAUAUUAUGUGUUGAAACUGAUAUUCCUAAAAACCUUCCAUACUUCAGAUGUUUGCCAGUUGAGAAGUGGCUCCUGGCAAUUUAAAUGAGUAAUGCUUGUUCUGUGGCUGGCACAUUGCUGGAACAGAGCAGUCAGCUAGCACGCUUUCAUGCCAGGAGGAUGUGCAUGUGCUUGCCUCAGUGUGUAACUCUCUUUUGCUCAUUUGUGCAGCUUCACGGGGUUUUUCUUCCCCUCUCCUGAUCGGAUAUUUUCAUGCUUUGAUAUGAAUUAUCUGUUGUUGCCCAGAUAUGGCCUCUGCUCUCUUCUUGAGAAAGAAUUGCAGUAUUACCCCUGUGACUUGCAAAACCAUAUCUAGAAUAUAUAGGGGUGUUUAAUGAUUUACUUGUCAUGUGUGUCACCCAAAUAGGGAAUUACUGGUCUGCCGAAAGAACAAAUAGAGAAUUUGGAGAUACCCAGUGUUAUUUCCCCUGGGUGCUACAUUAAGACAAUAAACCAUUUAUUGAUACUGGAGUUGGUUCUUCAAUGUCAUGAAAAAUAAAAACAACUUCCAGCCAAAGCAGGCUUAUAUAAAUAAAAAAUUAUUUUCUGAGUCUAUAUUAAGAAGUAUUUAUUGCUGAUUUUGAGAAGCAGCAGGAUAUAUGACAGAAUAUAUCCUUGCUCUAGAAGUGUAGAAAAACCUGUGUAUCAGUCCUGGUAGAAAAAAACAGUGUUCUGGCUUGCUCAUGAGACAGCAACAUUUUAAAUAUAUGAAGACACAUGAAGACAAACAUAUGAAAAGCAAUUGCUAGAUGAGAAGAUCACCAAAUAGCUACUUUAUUGUAUAACUGUGAUAAACUAUGGCUGUGUUUGAAAAAAAAAACAAACACUGCAAAAUACAGAGCAAGUCUAUGCUCUUGUUUAGGGAGCCAAUUUUUUUCUUUAACUUUAUAAAUUAAAAGUUCCUUCUUCUAUGAAAUCUUACAUACCUCAGAUAACAUGAAACAUUAUGUAUGCUGUUAAGACUAAAUCAAUUAAUUGCGAUGUCCUGCAAGAAUUCAUACUAGUGUAUGUCUUUUACCCCCUCACUGAAUCUGAAAAAAAGUUCAUCUGACCUUGCAUGUAAAUGAAAAUGUAAAUUAGUUUUUCCAUGUUACAGUUUGAUCCUUAUACAGAAUCAUUUUUAUGUAUGGGGAGGCUAGGAGAGGAAUAGAAUUUCUAAUUUUAAAUUCUAUCUCUUCGAUUUCACCAGACUUUUGGAAACACGGACUAUACAAAACAAAAGUGUGUACCCAUUAAAUAAAACUUACAUUAAUUUCUUUCUGGAAUGAGAUUUUAAUUGCGAAGUUUUGCUCCAAGGCAAUUUUUUUUCCUCUUUCUAAACCUAGGGUAAGAUGAAACAAUAUAUAUAACAAAAUGUUAACAUUUGCUUGAUUCCAAGAAUUCUACUGAACAUUUUUUAAGGAAACCAUCAUCUCACAAAUGUCUUUUAAAGGAAGUGAGCUUUGAGGUAGUAACUUGGCCAUAUAGAUUAUUUAGGAGUUUCUUGGAUUUGUUUUUUCACAUGAGCAUCUAAGAUUAUUUCUAGACAAAGCAGUUAAACUCCAAUCCACAAAGCCCACAAACAUUUACACAUUUUCCAGUUCAUAAAAUGUGCCAUGAAAAAGACCUCAUUAUAGGCAUAUUUAUUUGAAAGAUUUCUUGGUGUUCUGCUUCCAGAAACGAUGGCUGACUUGAAAUUGAGAAAAGUGCCAUAAAAUGGGUUUCUUCAGCUUGAUCAGGUUCAGUGAAGAUCGUAAAGGACUGUAAAAGCCUGGAUUCAUUCAGUCUUGUGCCUUUCCAAAGCUCCUGUGAAUGUUUUGUAUCAUUGCUGUCAGAUGUGAUUUUCUCUGCUGCUGCAGAUGUGCACAACAGAUUUACUGUUACAAGUAAUAGAUAGUAAAUUCCUGACAUAGAGGCAUUUAGGGCCACUGCCAGAUGUCUCAUUUUAAUAAUACAUUUGUAUAUCCGAGUUCCAGAGGGACAAUUAAGCUGUGAACAAUAAAGAUAAAAUCCUUGGAGGACAGGUAUAACCACUUUAUUGUUGUAGUCAAUCUAUGGUGCUCAAUAAAAUGGAUGAAUUCAGUUUUGUUUUUGUGUUGUUACAACAGGAUUACUAUUGCUUAGGUCUCAUUCAAAAAAUAGUUGAU